ACAAAGUAGCUUUAUUGAAACAAAGUCAACAAGUUAGCUUCAAUUGGUCUCGCACUCUCGCCAUGGUUUUCCUCAGUUGUCUCCCUUUUAGCGUCAAUUUUCAGAUCUGAAAUUUGGUAGAGAUAAUUUCCUUCCUUAUCAGAGUUCCAGAACACGCUUUCUAUUUCUCACAUACCCACCAUUAUAUUUCUUCACUUCUCAACACUGUCAUUGCAGCAUCUUCAACAAGCUUCGGUUUCGCCAUGGAUAACCACCACAAGGGAGCUCAAACCAGCUCUUCUUCUUCUUGCAUGAACUGGAAAUACGACGUGUUUGUGAGCUUUCAUGGUGAGGACACACGAAACACCUUCACUGAUCAUCUCUUCGGUGCUCUCGAACGAAGAAGCUUUGUUGCAUUCAGGGAUGACAUCAAACUCAGAAAAGGAGAAAAUAUAUCCACUGAGCUUCUACAAGCAAUUGAAGGAUCCAAUAUUCUCAUUGUCGUCUUCUCAAAAAACUAUGCUUCCUCCACUUGGUGUUUGCAAGAACUGGCAAAGAUUGCGGAUUGCAUUGAAGUGCCUGGCCAAACUGUCUUGCCUAUUUUCUAUGAUGUGACUCCAUCUGAGGUGCGAAAACAAACUGAGAAUUAUGGAAAAGCCUUUCUGGAGCAUGAACAAAGAUUCAAACAACAUUUGCAGAUGGUUCAAUCAUGGAGGGAAGAUCUUGCACGCGUAGCAAAUCUCUCUGGCUGGGAUAUCAGCAAUAGGCCACAAUAUGGAGAGAUUGGAAAAAUUGUUAAUGAGGUAACUCGGCUAUUGGAUCACAAACUUUUAACUCCACCCGAUGAUAUAGUUGGGAUGCAGUCACGAGUGGAAGAGUUAGAAAAGCUUCUCCUUUUAGACUCAAUAGAUGAUGUUCGAGUUGUUGGGAUUUGUGGCAUGGGUGGAAUAGGGAAGUCAACACUUGCUACUAGUUUAUAUUGCAGAAUCUCUGGUCAAUUUGAUGCGUCAUGUUUCAUUGAUGAGCUUUUUGGAGACUAUGGUCCAAUUGAGGCACAAAAGCAAAUUCUUGGUCAAACUUUAAAUGAGGGAAUUAUGCAGUUGUACAAUCCUGUCAUGACGACUAAUUUGAUGCGAACUAGGUUACGCCACAAAAAGGUCCUCAUAGUUCUUGAUAAUGUUGAUGUGAAGCAGCUGGACAAAUUGGCUAUAAAACGUGAAUGGCUAGGUGCAGGAAGUAGGAUGAUCAUAAUUUCUAGGGAUGAGCAUAUCUUGAUAGAGUAUGAAGUGGAUAAAGUUUACAAAGUUCAACUACUGGAUUCUGAAGAUGCUCAUCAAUUGUUUUGUAGAAAGGCUUUUAAAUGUAAUUAUAUAACAAGAGAUUACAUGGAGUUGACAGGUGAAGUACUGACAUAUGCUAAGGGCCUCCCACUAGCAAUUAAAGUAUUGGGCUCAUUUUUGUUCGGUCGAGAUGUUUGUGAGUGGAGAAGUGCAUUGGUUAGAUUGAGAGAAAAUCCAGAAAAAGAUAUCAUGGAUGUGCUUCGAAUUAGUUAUGAUGCAUUGAGGGAUACAGAAAAAGAAAUAUUUUUAGAUAUUUCUUGUUUCUUUCAUGGAAAACUUAGUUCUUAUGUGGAGGAUCUUCUAGAUAUUCGGGGAUUUUAUCCUAAAAUUGGUUUAAGAGUUCUCGUUGAAAAAUCACUAAUCAUAAUAGACCAAAAUGGGUUUAUUAUAAUGCAUGAUUUGUUGCAAGAGCUGGGAAGAAGUAUUGUUCGAGAAGUAUCUCCAAAAGAGCCAAGAAAGUGGAGCAGACUAUGGGACUACGAGGAUCUACACAAUGUCACCUUACAAAAUAUGGCAGCGGAAAAUCUCGAGGCCAUAAUAAUAAUAAGAAGAGAUGAUCCAGAAACCACGAUGAAGGCUGAUGCUUUGUCAAAAAUGAAUCACCUUAAGUUGCUCAUUCUUAAAGGUGUGAACUUUUCAGGACGUCUCAAUCAUCUUUCCAGUGAAUUGCAAUAUCUUUCUUGGGAAAAGUAUCCUUUCCCGUGUUUGCCACCAAGUUUUCGACCAGAUAAACUUGUUGAAUUGAUCCUCAAGCAUAGCAGCAUCAAACAACUAUGGGAAGGCUCAAAGCUUCUACACAAUUUGAGAGGAAUGGAUCUUUCUAACUCGAAGAAUCUUAUUAAGAUGCCAGAACUUAGGGAGGCCCCAAAUCUUGAGUGGCUAGAUCUUAAAGGAUGUAUAAAACUCUCUCAGAUCAACCAGCUGUUAGAGAAACCAAAGGAUGAAGAGCACGUAGAGAGACUUGAAAUGAAUCAACAGCAGGCAACAUCAUCUCUCUACAAAGUUCUGACAUUGCCUUUUGAAUUUAUGUAUUCUGGAAGACGUGAAGAUUCGAUUGGUUUAUUGUUGCCUGAUUUGCCUCAUUUCUCAUGUUUGCGACAUCUUGACCUCAGCUUCUGUAAUCUACGUCAGGUCCCUGAUGUUAUUGGGUGGUUACAUGCUUUAGAAGACUUAAAUUUGGGGGGAAACAAUUUUAUUUCACUGCCUCCUAGCAUCAAAGAACUAUCCAAACUUAGAGUUUUGAACUUAGAGCACUGUAAGGAUUUGAGAUAUUUUCCUGAGCUCCCAUCAAGAACCCAAGGAUGGGUUGGUCGUAGACCUCACGCAGGAUUGUAUAUUUUCAACUGCCCAAAAUUGCGUGUGAUAGAGCACUGUUAUGACGUGGUUUUUUCUUGGAUGAUCCAAAUCCUUAAGGUGCACAUGCGAUCCCCUUUCUGCAAGGGUCGUAUUCAAGUUGUUAUUCCUGGAGCUCAAAUUCCAAUGUGGUUCAACAAACAAAAUAUGGGCGGUUCAAUAAGCUUGGAUCCAUCUCCCACUAUUUCAAGUUGGAUAGGUGUUGCUUGCUGUGUAGAAUUUGUGGUGCGUGACAGCCCAACUAAUUUGGAAGAUGAAAGGGGAUUUCUUCAUUUUUGUUACGGUUUUAAUAUGAAGAAUCAGGUUGGCAAUUUUACAUUGGUGCCAAUACAUAUUGAGAAAGAUCUCACUGUUGAAUCAGAUCACCUGUUGCUACUCUUUCUCACUCAAAAGGAAUUUCGUGAUUAUGUAAAAUAUCUUGUGCCAAAGGGAACAAAUGAUCUUGAUGGUUUGAAAUUUAGUGCCGAAAUUAGUCGUCCCCAAGGCGAGGUGAAAAAAUGCGGGUAUCGUUGGGUAUUUAAAGAAGAUCUGGAACAGUUAAACCUACAAAUGAUGUAUAGUGGAAAUACAUCAACUCGAAGGCACAAGUUCAUAACUGAUGAUUAGUUGUGCUAUGCCAUUAAGCUGAUUAACGAAAAGCGCAACUAUUUCAUCUGGUCACACUUCUUCAGAGAAAUUAAAUUCCAUUUGGGGUAAGACUCAAAAUUGUAUGUGAAAGGUUGAUGAUACAGUGAUUUCUUUUCUGUUUUCUCUUUCCAGGCUAGAGUCAAUUUCGACCGGGAUUAUUGUGCAAGUUAUGAUUAGCAUGUGGAGGAUGGCUUGUCUUGAAUGACUGUAACUAAUUGUCAAAUUUGAAGGGGUACAGAGCCAAAGGUCUUCUCGGUGCUAUAGUACAUGUAAAGAAAUCCAUCCUCAUCCCUGAAUGAUCUAUAAACAGAGUCCAUCAUACUAGCUGCAGAUAAUCACAAACACAACAUGUUGAAGCACGCCACCAUUUACGACAACAAAAUGAAGAAAAUAAUCGCGAAAGAAGAAACAAAUAAAGAAAGAGAGAAAGAAAGCAUUAACUUAUUCGGUUAUAGCACAAGCUUACCAGUUUGAGGCAAGGUGUUCUUGACAAACACAAAGAGAGCUUUUCCAGGGGGCAGACUGAGUCUGGAACUCAAAAUAUGAAUGAAAUGACCAACAGACAAGUCUCGGGGAACAAGUUAUGCAGUGGAAGGUGAUCUUACUUUCUCUUUCCCAGCUCAGGCAGAUCGGACUUCAAAUACCUUUCCACAAUGACAGGGACACGAUCGGGGUAUUUGGCGAUAAUCUCCCGCGAUUCUUCGAGUCUUUGGUCUGCGCGCGCGAAAUCGAAGAGUGAGAGACAGUGAUGAGUGAAUUAGGUAAGGGAAAUUGGGAGAAAGGGUGAAGAAGAAUUGAGCGCACCGAAGGUGAAUUCAUCCUUGAAACUCGAACUUCCUCCCAUGUUGUCGUCGUUGUUGUGUUGAAGAAGAAUCGAGAAAACACGAGUGAGUUCGUGUACUGUAAACUAAUCUUCUGUUUUCGAAGUUCUGAUUCAACACGUCACAGUGAACUGAUUUAAGAUUAUAUUGUUUGUGGGAUAUGAAGUGAACGUGUCGUGCGGGGAUAGCUCAGUUGGGAGAGCGUCAGACUGAAGAUCUGAAGGUCGCGUGUUCGAUCCACGCUCACCGCAUAUUUUUUGUUUCUUGUAAUUUUGAUUGUUUUUGGGCUGAAAACUGGAGAAGUUGAUGGGCUAUGUAAUUGUGAGGGGUUUGCCCAUUUAACUUUUUGUGGGUCUUGGUGCUCUUCAUUGCAACAGGUCUGCUGCAUCCUCAUUUGUAUGCAGAUAAAAGAAUAUUAAUGAGUUUUGAAGA